GAUGAACGCUGGCGGCGUGCCUAAUACAUGCAAGUCGAGCGAACAGACGAGGAGCUUGCUCCUCUGACGUUAGCGGCGGACGGGUGAGUAACACGUGGAUAACCUACCUAUAAGACUGGGAUAACUUCGGGAAACCGGAGCUAAUACCGGAUAAUAUAUUGAACCGCAUGGUUCAAUAGUGAAAGACGGUUUUGCUGUCACUUAUAGAUGGAUCCGCGCCGCAUUAGCUAGUUGGUAAGGUAACGGCUUACCAAGGCAACGAUGCGUAGCCGACCUGAGAGGGUGAUCAGCCACACUGGAGCUGAGACACGGUCCAGACUCCUACGGGAGGCAGCAGUAGGGAAUCUUCCGCAAUGGGCGAAAGCCUGACGGAGCAACGCCGCGUGAGUGAUGAAGGUCUUCGGAUCGUAAAACUCUGUUAUUAGGGAAGAACAAAUGUGUAAGUAACUAUGCACGUCUUGACGGUACCUAAUCAGAAAGCCACGGCUAACUACGUG
rnacentral:rRNA from 1 species